GGCUUAAUUUGACUCAACGCGGGAAAUCUUACCGGGUCCGGACACACUGAGGAUUGACAGACAAAUAGAAAUUUAUUUCUAUAUAAAGAUGCUAGUUCUUUCAUGAUUAUGUGAUAGGUGGUGCAUGGCCGUUCUUAGUUCGUGGAGUGAUCUGUCUGCUUAAUUGCGUUUCAAUUUUUAUUAUGUAUACGUAUGACCCACGUUUACGCGUGCGAGUCUAGUAUGCUAUCAUUUGAAAGCAACGAACGUGACCGUAUCCUUUUAUUAUAUACGCACGCGUAUAUUUAUUCAUUAAAGGGACCGCUGUUUCUUUUUUUAAACCAGAGGAAGGUUACGGCAAUAACAGGUCUGUGAUGC
rnacentral:rRNA from 1 species